GAUGGUUGCCUUCAAUAUUCUGCAUGAAAAAAGAGUUCCUGAGAAUGGCAGCGUUUGGGAGACAGUUGCAUAUGCAAAAGGGGAUAACUGGGACACUGGGUGUUGGAGGAGAGGUCCGAGAAUGAGCAGAGUCAAUCAACUCUCGGUUUUGACUUCACCAGCCGGCUUGGAUUCUGAUAACAAGGCAGCGGGGUGCCUCUGUGAAGAGUACUUCAGUGCAAUGAAUGAAGACCAUUGUGUGGUUCUGUAUUCUCGCCAUCAAUUACAGAGUACAGGAGACUGCCCAAAUAGUACAAUUAAGAAAAAUAGGAGUACAGACACAGCAGCAUCUGUUAGAACCCUUGCUCCCAGUUAUGAGGUAAGCAAGACAUGCGUUGUGGGGCAAAAAAUCGAAGCUGACUACUGAAAAGGUAAGUCGGCUUAUUAACAGAGCAUAUGCAAAAGCACGAUUAUUGGGGCCAGAAA